rnacentral:rRNA from 1 species
GAUGAACGCUGGCGGCGUGCCUAAUACAUGCAAGUCGAGCGAACAGACGAGGAGCUUGCUCCUCUGACGUUAGCGGCGGACGGGUGAGUAACACGUGGAUAACCUACCUAUAAGACUGGGAUAACUUCGGGACACCGGAGCUAAUACCGGAUAAUAUAUUGAACCGCAUGGUUCAAUAGUUAAAGACGGUUUUGCUGUCUCUUAUAGAUGGAUCCGCGCCGCAUUAGCUAGUUGGUAAGGUAACGGCUUACCAAGGCAACGAUGCGUAGCCGACCUGAGAGGGUGAUCGGCGACACCGGAACUGAGACACGGACCAGACUCCUACGGGAGGCAGCAGUAGGGAAUCUUCCGCAAUGGGCGAAAGCUUGACGGAGCAACGCCGAGUGAGUGAUGAAGGUCUUCGGAUCGUAAAACUCUGUUAUGAGGGAAGAACAAAUGUGUAAGUAACUAUGCACGUCUUGACGGUACCGAAUCAGAAAGCAACGGCUAACUACGUG